GGUGCCAUGGCUGAGUGGUACAGUCAUGGAGUAACACUUUGUAUGUCGCGGGUCCAAAUCCCGCCCCUGGUGGCU